CUGCGUCUUCAAAAGACCA
rnacentral:piRNA from 1 species